UCUUAUGGAUGAGCAAAGAAAGAGGUUUCUUAAGAUGGAACUACCCCUGGUGAAGAUGCUGUGAG
rnacentral:pre_miRNA from 1 species